GAUUAUAUGGCUUAGAUGGUGAAGUAUCUGCCUGCAAUGCAGGAGACCCUGGUUUGAUCCCUGGGUCA
rnacentral:tRNA from 1 species